rnacentral:rRNA from 1 species
UACGUAGGGUGCAAGCGUUGUCCGGAAUUAUUGGGCGUAAAGAGCUCGUAGGCGGUUUGUUGCGUCGGCUGUGAAAUCUCGGGGCUUAACUUCGGGCGUGCCAGUCGAUACGGGCUGGCUUGAGUGCGGUAGGGGAGACUGGAAUUCCUGGUGUAGCGGUGAAAUGCGCAGAUAUCAGGAGGAACACCGGUGGCGAAGGCGGGUCUCUGGGCCGUAACUGACGCUGAGGAGCGAAAGCGUGGGGAGCGAACAGG